AAGCUACUUCAGAUGGGGCUACUUCAUGUUUGUCUGGAGAACACUGCAGGAGCUCACCGAGUGCACAUGAGUGUGUGUUUUCCUCUCUUCUUUCAGCUGUGGGUUUAAGUUUAUCUGCUCACAGUUGCGAGUGCAGAGCUGUAAAGCUGAGGCAAGAAACGCUGGAAGGGCAGGAGCUCAUCAAAGCCAGCAAGAGAGUGUCAGCAGAAGAGAAGAGAGAAGGAAAACAGAGAAACAAGAAAUGGGGUGUUUAUUCCUAGUUCCUACCACAGCACAGAGGAACACUGGACCUUGUUUGGAGCCCUGUUUUCAGGGGACAGAAGAACCACUGCUCUCCAGCCUUUCUCCUAGGGGUGCAGAAAGUACAGAUGGAGAAAAGUGGUGCUGGGCUGGCGACGAAGAAUCCACACAGUGAGCCCUCAAUAAAUAGUACAUUUGCCCUGAAAAA